GGUCCCAUCGUCUAGUGGUUAGGACGCCGGCCUCUCACGCCGGAAACCGGGGUUCAAACCCCCGUGGGACUACCA
rnacentral:tRNA from 1 species